UACGUAAGGGGCAAGCGUUGUCCGGAAUCACUGGGCGUAAAGCGCACGUAGGCGGUUUAGUAAGUUGGGGGUGUAAGCUCCAGGCUUAACCUGGAAAUUGCCUCCAAAACUACUUUACUUGAGUAUUAGAGGGGAAGCUGGAAUUCACGGUGUAGCGGUGAAAUGCGUAGAUAUCGUGGAGAACACCCGUGGCGAAGGCGGGCUUCUGGCUAAUGACUGACGCUGAGG
rnacentral:rRNA from 1 species